rnacentral:rRNA from 1 species
UGGGGAAGUAUUGCACAAUGGGCGCAAGCCUGAUGCAGCCAUGCCGCGUGUAUGAAGAAGGCCUCGGGUUGUAAAGUACUUUCAGCGAGGAGGAAGGCAUUAAGGUUAAUAACCUUAGUGAUUGACGUUACUCGCAGAAGAAGCACCGGCUAACUCCGUGCCAGCAGCCGCGGUAAUACGGAGGGUGCAAGCGUUAAUCGGAAUUACUGGGCGUAAAGCGCACGCAGGCGGUCUGUCAAGUCGGAUGUGAAAUCCCCGGGCUCAACCUGGGAACUGCAUUCGAAACUGGCAGGCUAGAGUCUUGUAGA